rnacentral:rRNA from 1 species
CCGGAGAGGGAGCUUGAGAAAUGGCUACCACAUCCAAGGAUGGCAGCAGGCGCGCAAAUUACCCAAUCCCAAUACGGGGAGGUAGUGACAAUAAAUAACAAUGUUGGAAUAUUUUAAAAAUUCCAACAAUUGGAAUGAGAGGAAUUUAAAUCUCUUCUCGAGGAACCAUUGGAGGGCAAGUCUGGUGCCAGCAGCCGCGGUAAUUCCAGCUCCAAUAGCGUAUGUUAAAGUUGUUGCAGUUAAAAAGCUCGUAGUCUAAACCGCAAAGUCUUUUUAAAUGGAAAUGGCGUCUCUUUCUCUUAUGUGUUUUGAUCGUCACUGUUGACUGUGGAAGUCAGUAUUCUGUACUACUUCUCAGCUCAUAGUGAACUGAUCCCGUAAUUGAAUUAGACGUCCCAGCUUUGCUUGUAUUUUGAAGUACUUUAUCAUUCGAGCUUCAUUGCUCGAGUGGUAAGCUAAUAGGACUUCAAUUGUUUACUUUGAGAAAACUAGAGUGUUCAAAGCAGGCGAAUUAAAAAUUUCUCUCGCAACUGAAUACAUUAGCAUGGGAUAAUAAAAUAGGACAUUUAUAGGGGAGAAUGCCCUUGACUUCUGAGUACCUUUGCGGGUAUUCUUUAGUUCUUACAAGGCUUCUCUCUUUGGUCCUAUUAUGUUUUUGAUUGGUGGUUCAAGGACCAAUGUAAUGAUUAAUAGGAACGGUUGGGGACAUUCAUAUUGCAUGGCUAGAGGUGAAAUUCUUGGAUUCAUGCAAGAUGAACUGCUGCGAAAGCGUUUGUCAAAGACGUUUUCAUUGAUCAAGAACGAAAGUUAGGGGAGCAAAGACGAUCAGAUACCGUCGUAGUCCUAACUAUAAACGAUGCCGACUAGGGAUCGGUGGGCGUUAAUAUAAAAUUGUUAGAGACCCACUUGUGUGUUUUAGUUUGUGGUUUUUUCCACAAUCUUUGCCUCAAGUACUCUAACAAGAAAUGACCCCAUCGGCACCUUAAUUUUUUUACUUCUUAAUGGGAAACCAAAGUUUUUGGGUUCCGGGGGGAGUAUGGUCGCAAGGCUGAAACUUAAAGGAAUUGACGGAAGAUCACCACCAGGAGUGGAAUCUGCGGCUUAAUUUGACUCAACACGGGGAAACUCACUCGGUCAGGACAUAGUAAGGAUUGACAGAUUGAUAGCUCUUUCUUAAUUUCUAUGGGUGGUGGUGCAUGGUCGUUCUUAGUUGGUGGAGUGAUUUGUCUGGUUAAUUCCGAUAACGAACGAGACCUCAACUUAUUAACUAGUGCUAAGAAAGUUCUAAUGGUUGAAGUCUAGUGAAGGUGUAGGCUGGGGAAACCUAGUUCUGCAUUAACGCUAGGUGGAUGCUUGAACAUUUCUUGGUAAUUCAACUUCUUAAAAGGACUGUUGGUAUCUAACCAAAGGAAGUGAGACAAUAACAGGUCUG